GGGGUUGUGGCUCAGUGGUAGAGCAUUUGCUUAGCAUGCAUGAGGCACUGGGUUCAAUCCUCAACAACACAU
rfam:Ictidomys tridecemlineatus contig046201, whole genome shotgun sequence.